rnacentral:rRNA from 1 species
ACCAGACUCCUACGGGAGGCAGCAGUGGGGAAUAUUGGGCAAUGGAGGAAACUCUUACCCAGCAAUGCCGCGUGAAUGAAGAAGGUCUUCGGAUUGUAAAGUUCUUUAAUUGGGGACGAAAAAAAUGACGGUACCCAAGGAAUAAGCCCCGGCUAACUACGUGCCAGCAGCCGCGGUAAUACGGAGGAUGCGAGCGUUAUCCGGAUUUAUUGGGUUUAAAGGGUGCGCAGGCGGCCUGUUAAGUCAGCGGUAAAAGCCGGGGGCCCACCCCCGGCGAGCCGUUGAAACUGGCGGGCUGGAGUUGGAGAGAAGUACGCGGAAUGCGCGGUGUAGCGGUGAAAUGCUUAGAUAUCGCGCAGAACCCCGAUUGCGAAGGCAGCGUACCGGCCCCACGCUGACGCUGAGGCACGAAAGCGUGGGUAUCGAGCAGGAUUAGAUACCCCCGUA